UACGAAGGGGGCUAGCGUUGUUCGGAAUUACUGGGCGUAAAGCGCGCGUAGGCGGCUUUGUAAGUUAGAGGUGAAAGCCCAGGGCUUAACCCUGGAAUUGCCUUUAAGACUGCAUCGCUAGAAUUGUGGAGAGGUAAGUGGAAUUCCGAGUGUAGAGGUGAAAUUCGUAGAUAUUCGGAAGAACACCAGUGGCGAAGGCGACUUACUGGACACAUAUUGACGCUGAGGUGCGAAAGCGUGGGGAGCAAACAGG
rnacentral:rRNA from 1 species